CGCACUGCGCCUAUUGUUGGGCCGCCGGAGCGCCGUGCCGGGCGCCGCCGCCGCGCGCCUUACCUGGCGGCACACCUUCGGUGUUGCGACUGCUCGCUGCGACAAGACGAGCACCGCCGCCGGGGAGGCCGCCCCGACUUCCACCGCGCCGCCAUGUGCCCGGGGACCGACGCUGCCGACCUCCAACCCGCCUCCCUGUACAGGGGGCGCCGCCGCCAUCCACCGCGUCACCCUGUGCCCGGCAUACGGUGGCGCUGCCAUCCAUGGUUUGCUUCAGGCUGCCGGCCUCGAGGGAGCACGCCGCCGCCUCCUUCCCCCACAACAGCAGCAGCAGCCAGAAGGCCACCAUCUCGCGCGGCGCCGACUCCUUCCGCCGCCUCCAUCCCGUGCGACGCUGCCCCUGCUGCAGUCGCCUGUGGUCGGAGCUGCAACCGGCGGCGGCGCCGACUCCUUCCGCCGCCUCCAUCCCGUGCGACGCUGCCCCUGCUGCAGUCGCCUGUGGUCGGAGCUGCAACCGGCGGCGGCGCUGCUGCAACCGCAGCGGCGGAGCUGCAAAGGGCACCGACGGUGCUGCAAUCCCAAUUUUGCUAUGAGCGUCUCGCCGGAGCCAUGACUGUGCUUCCUUAGUUUAUUUUUUGGCUGCAUUACUACGUAUUUUAGCUUCAUUACUGUUAAAUUUGGGCUGCAUUACUUCAUUUGUUGGACAGCUGCAUUUUUUUUGUGACCGUGCUUCCUAAGUUUUAUUUUGGGCUGCAUUACUACACUUUUUUAGCUUCAUUACUAUGAAAUUUGGGCUGCAUUGCAGCAAGACAAUUUCGUUUCUCGGCGAGGUAGGGGGAGGUGCUGCAAAUGUUCAAUGGCAGUGUUGUAAAUGUUUCGUGGCUCUGCUUCUUUACUACA